rnacentral:rRNA from 1 species
AGCGAACGCUGGCGGCAGGCCUAACACAUGCAAGUCGAACGGACCCUUCGGGGUUAGUGGCGGACGGGUGAGUAACACGUGGGAACGUGCCUUUUGGUUCGGAACAACUCAGGGAAACUUGAGCUAAUACCGAAUGUGCCCUUCGGGGGAAAGAUUUAUCGCCAUUAGAGCGGCCCGCGUCUGAUUAGCUUGUUGGUGAGGUAAUGGCUCACCAAGGCGACGAUCAGUAGCUGGUCUGAGAGGAUGAUCAGCCACAUUGGGACUGAGACACGGCCCAAACUCCUACGGGAGGCAGCAGUGGGGAAUCUUGCGCAAUGGGCGAAAGCCUGACGCAGCCAUGCCGCGUGAAUGAUGAAGGUCUUAGGAUUGUAAAGCUCUUUUACCAGGGAUGAUAAUGACAGUACCUGGAGAAUAAGCUCCGGCUAACUCCGUGCCAGCCGCCGCCGUAAAAC